CAAGACGAACUAUAUAAGUUGGUAAUUAAGUACUCUAAUCUUCAUCAAGAACGUCGAGAUUUGAAGAAAGGAGGAUUGGAAAAAUUGGAGAAGAGCAUUAUGAGCAUAUAGGCUUCAGCUCCAUAGUGAAAAUUGAAGAUGAAGUAAAAUCAAAGCCGUCUCCUUUUUCAAAAGUCAAAGAUAAAUUUUGAAAAACAAACAAAAGAACUUGGAUUUGUAGGGUAUUUUGGUCUUUAGAAAGACUCAAGUUGCCCUUUAUUUUACUGAAAGAUUUUUACUUUGAAUUUUUUAUAAUUUCAAUUGUCUUUUGGAGCCUUUGUGUUGGUUGUAACAUCAAUAAAAGAUCUGUACCUUGUGGAUUCAAGGUAUUUCAAA